UACGUAGGGGGCAAGCGUUGUCCGGAUUUAUUGGGCGUAAAGAGCGUGUAGGCGGCUUGGUAGGUCUCGCGUCAAAACCUGAGGCUCAACCUCAGUUCGCGUGGGAAACCGCCUAGCUAGAGUCCGGAAGAGGAGAACGGAAUUCCCAGUGUAGCGGUGAAAUGCGCAGAUAUUGGGAAGAACACCAGUGGCGAAGGCGGUUCUCUGGGACGGUACUGACGCUGAGACGCGAAAGCGUGGGGAGCGAACAGG
rnacentral:rRNA from 1 species